GAAGUUCUCACAAACUAGAAGACAAAUUCCGUCCACUUACUUGACCAUUUGACGCAGGAAAACAACAUUCCCUGUUCGGUAGUAGUUGUCGAUCUCCUCCGAAGUUCGCUGGAAGGAAGAAUGGUCCCCUCUGGCGAUGUCCCUCUAAGACAUGUUAGAUCCACGAAUUCGAUCCGGAAGUGGAGACUACAGUCUGAAGUUUCUGAAGAAAAGAGGUUACUUCAAGACGUCUCUCAAAGCACUGCCUUGACCCAUCUAAUAUGGCGGCGACGUUGACGUACGGCUCAGCGCUCCAUGCGGCGUCUCCUUAACUUAAAAAGAGAAAAAGGGAGUGAAGCUGUGUGGACAGCAGCCAGCCACAGCCAAUGCAGUCAUAAUCAACUCGAGCUAUGGUCCCUGUCUCGCCAGCACCGGGCAAAGGCGUUGGAGCUAACACAAAACCUGGCCUGGGAACACCUUGGUGUCCUCCUGGUUGAACUGAAGGAGGUGGUGGGAGACCGUGAAGUCUGGGACUGCUGCCCCUGCGACCCCGAUAAGUGGAGGAAAUCAACUUUCUGAAUACAGACAACAUAAGAUGCACCACAGCUGACACUGGAGCAACAAGCAGUGGGAUUUCUGCACAAGAUUUUUUUUUGUACAUUUCAAGAGUAUUCAUCCCAAUGGACUGCAGCCCGAGAGCUUAGGGACCAGCGGAAAGUCAUUUGAAGGUGACUGAAAAGACACUGUCGGCCAUGUACUCCUGGUAAAUACCACCGAAAACUAUGUUUUAUGUAUUUUCCAAUGCCCUUCAGCACAAAUCCAGCCUUUAAGUUGGUGUAUAUCCACUCAAGCUACUUUGAAAAACUUUCUUUUUAUCUCA